rnacentral:rRNA from 1 species
GAUGAACGCUAGCGGCAGGCCUAACACAUGCAAGUCGAGGGGUCGACGGAGCGUGCUCCUUUGAGACCGGCGCCCGGGUGCGUAACGCGUAUGCAUUCUACCUUGUACAGGGGAAUAGCACCGAGAAAUUUGGAUUAAUGCCCCAUAGUAUAUAACUUUCGCAUGUUGGUUCUAUUAAAGUUCUAACGGUACAAGAUGAGAAUGCGUCCCAUUAGUUAGUUGGUAAGGUAACGGCUUACCAAGACGAUGAUGGGUAGGGGUCCUGAGAGGGAGAUCCCCCACACGGGUACUGAGACACGGACCAGACGCCUGCGGGAGGCAGCAGUGAGGAAUAGUGGGCAAUGGUCGCAAGACUUAACCAACCAUGCCGCGUGCAGGAAGACCGUGCUAUGGGUGGUAAACUGCUUUUAGACAGGAAGAAACCCUCCCACGUGUAAGAGCAUGACGGUACUGUAAGAAUAAGGACCGGCUAACUCCGUG